CUACGGGUGGCUCCAGUGAGGAAUAUUGCACAAUGGGGGGAACCCUGAUGCAGCAACGCCGCGUGGAGGAUGGCGCAUUUCGGUGUGUAAACUCCUUUUAUAUGUCAAGAAAAUGACGGUAGCAUAUGAAUAAGCACCGGCUAACUCCGUGCCAGCAGCCGCGGUAAUACGGAGGGUACAAGCGUUACUCGGAAUCACUGGGCGUAAAGGACGCGUAGGCGGGUUGGAAAGUCAGGUGUGAAAUCCUACAGCUUAACUGUAGAACUGCACUUGAAACUUCUAAUCUAGAGUAUGGGAGGGGGAGAUGGAAUUAGUGGUGUAGGGGUAAAAUCCGUAGAUAUCACUAGGAAUACCUAAAGCGAAGGCGAUCUCCUGGAACAUUACCGACGCUAAGGCGUGAAAGCGUGGGGAGCAAACAGGAUUAGAUACCCCCGUAGUC
rnacentral:rRNA from 1 species